CGAAAGCCUGACGGAGCAAUACCGCGUGAGGGAGGAAGGCUCUUGGGUUGUAAACCUCUUUUCUCAGGGAAGAUAGUGACGGUACCUGAGGAAUAAGCAUCGGCUAACUCCGUGCCAGCAGCCGCGGUAAUACGGAGGAUGCAAGCGUUAUCCGGAAUGAUUGGGCGUAAAGCGUCCGCAGGUGGCAGUUCAAGUCUGCUGUCAAAGACCGGGGCUCAACCCUGGAAAGGCAGUGGAAACUGAACAGCUAGAGAGCGGUAGGGGCAGAGGGAAUUCCCAGUGUAGCGGUGAAAUGCGUAGAGAUUGGGAAGAACACCGGUGGCGAAAGCGCUCUGCUAGGCCGCGACUGACACUCAGGGACGAAAGCUAGGGGAGCGAAUGGGAUUAGAUACCCCAGUAGUCCUAGCCGUAAACGUUGGAUACUAGGCGUUGCUCGUAUCGACCCGAGCAGUGUCGUAGCUAACGCGUUAAGUAUCCCGCCUGGGGAGUACGCGCGCAAGCGUGAAACUCAAAGGAAUUGACGGGGGCCCGCACAAGCGGUGGAGUAUGUGGUUUAAUUCGAUGCAACGCGAAGAACCUUACCAAGGCUUGACAUGUCGCGAACUUCUGGGAAACCAGGGGGUGCCUUCGGGAGCGCGAACACAGGUGGUGCAUGGCUGUCGUCAGCUCGUGUCGUGAGAUGUUGGGUUAAGUCCCGCAACGAGCGCAACCCUCGUUUUUAGUUGCCAGCACGAAAGGUGGGCACUCUAGAGAGACUGCCGGUGACAAACCGGAGGAAGGUGGGGAUGACGUCAAGUCAGCAUGCCCCUUACGCCUUGGGCAACACACGUACUACAAUGCUACGGACAAAGGGCAGCAAGUUAGCGAUGACAAGCAAAUCCCAUAAACCGUGGCUCAGUUCAGAUUGGAGGCUGCAACUCGCCUCCAUGAAGGCGGAAUCGCUAGUAAUUGCAGGUCAGCAUACUGCAGUGAAUUCGUUCCCGGGCCUUGUACACACCGCCCGUCACACCAUGGAAGCUGGCCACGCCCGAAGUCGUUACCCUAACCGCAAGGAGGGGGACGCCGAAGGCAGGGCUGGUGACUGGGGUGAAGUCGUAACAAGGUAGCCGUACCGGAAGGUGUGGCUGGAUCACCUCCUUUACAGGGAGACCUAACCCAUCAAGACCGGAAGUAGAGAUACGGAGGGAUUGAUGAGGUCACCCAAAGGUCGGUCGAAGGAAUUGUGAGGCUUUCAAACUAUAAGUGGUUCAGGUGAAACAGAGAAUUGGGGCUAUUAGCUCAGGUGGUUAGAGCGCACCCCUGAUAAGGGUGAGGUCCCUGGUUCGAGUCCAGGAUGGCCCACCUAGACAAAACUCAAAACUCAAAAGCUAACAGGUUGGAAGUGGGAGUUGGUGCGGGGGUAUAGCUCAGCUGGUAGAGCGCCGCCUUUGCAAGGCAGAAGCCAGCGGUUCGAGUCCGCUUACCUCCACUGACAGAGAGUCAGGUAAAAAGUAGGGAGUCAGGACAACAAACGAGUUAAGUGUGAUAGACUAGAACAGGUGUCAAAAAGGGUUAACAGCAACAUGACUGACAAAGUCAGACUGCUGGAAACAACACCAGCCAGAACCUUGAAAACUGCAUAGCAACGCGUAAAAUUAAAGCAGGCAGAUACCAAGAGUAGGAAACUACGGAAAGUAUCGAGCAGGUGGAAAUCAAGUGGUCAAGCGAAAAAGGGCUGACGGUGGAUACCUAGGCACACAGAGGCGAAGAAGGACGUGGCGACCGACGAAAAGCUCCGGGGAGCUGGAAGCAAGCAUUGAGCCGGAGAUGUCCGAAUGGGGCAACCUGAAAUACAGCCUGUUGAAUAUAUAGACAGGUAUGAGCCAACCCAGCGAACUGAAACAUCUUAGUAGCUGGAGGAACAGAAAGAAAAAUCGAUUCCCUGAGUAGUGGUGAGCGAAAGGGGAAGAGCCUAAACCAACUGUUAAGACAGUUGGGGUAGUGGGACAGCAUCAAGCGACCGCGAAAACUAAACGAAGCAGUUGGGAAGCUGCACCAGAGAAGGUGAAAGGCCUGUAGUUGAAAGUGGUAGCGGCGUGAGCUGAAUCCCGAGUAGCACGGGGCACGAGGAAUCGCGUGUGAAUCAGCGAGGACCAUCUCGUAAGGCUAAAUACUACCGUGUGACCGAUAGUGAACCAGUACCGCGAGGGAAAGGUGAAAAGAACCCCGCAAGGGGAGUGAAAUAGAACAUGAAACCGUCAGCUGACAAGCAGUGGGAGGACGAUUAAACGUCUAACCGCGUGCCUGUUGAAGAAUGAGCCGGCGACUGAUAAGCGGUGGCAGGUUAAAGCGAGAAUGCUGAAGCCAAAGCGAAAGCGAGUCUGAAGAGGGCGAGUAUUGUCACGGAUUAUCGACCCGAACCCGGGUGAUCUAACCAUGUCCAGGAUGAAGCUUGGGUAACACCAAGUGGAGGUCCGAACCGACCGAUGUUGAAAAAUCGGCGGAUGAGGUGUGGUUAGGG
rnacentral:sRNA from 1 species